AGAGUUUGAUCCUGGCUCAGAAUCAACGCUGGCGGCGCGCCUAACACAUGCAAGUCGAACGAGAAAGUGGAGCAAUCCAUGAGUACAGUGGCGUACGGGUGAGUAACACGUGGGUAAUCUACCUUUUAGUGAGGAAUAACCGAGGGAAACUUCGGCUAAUACCGCAUAAGCCUGAGAAGGGAAAGCAGAAAUGCGCUGAAAGAGGAGCCCGCGGCCGAUUAGCUAGUUGGUGAGGUAAGAGCCCACCAAGGCAGAGAUCGGUAGCCGGCCUGAGAGGGCACACGGCCACACUGGCACUGAAACACGGGCCAGACUCCUACGGGAGGCAGCAGUGGGGAAUCUUGCACAAUGGGGGAAACCCUGAUGCAGCGACGCCGCGUGAGCGAUGAAGCCCUUCGGGGUGUAAAGCUCUUUCGUCAGGGAAGAUAGUGACGGUACCUGGAGAAGCAGCUGCGGCUAACUACGUGCCAGCAGCCGCGGUAAUACGUAGGCAGCAAGCGUUGUUCGGAGUUACUGGGCGUAAAGGGUGUGUAGGCGGUUCUUUAAGUUUGCUGUGAAAUCUCCCGGCUUAACCGGGAGGGUGCGGUGAAUACUGAGGGACUAGAGUACGGGAGAGGAAAGUGGAAUUCCUGGUGUAGCGGUGAAAUGCGUAGAUAUCAGGAGGAACACCGGUGGUGUAGACGGCUUUCUGGACCGACACUGACGCUGAGACACGAAAGCGUGGGUAGCAAACAGGAUUAGAUACCCUAGUAGUCC
rnacentral:rRNA from 1 species